CUGGGUUCUCUGUUCUGUUCCAUUGAUCUAUGUGCAUGUUUUUGUACUAAUACCAUGCUGUUUUAGUUAAUUCUAGUCUUGCAGUAUCAUUUGAAGUUAGACAAUGGGAUACCUCCGGAUUUGUUCUGAGUAGGAUUGCUUUGACUGACUGGGGGGUUUUUUUGUUUUAUAUGAACUUUGGGAG